rnacentral:rRNA from 1 species
AUUGAACGCUGGCGGCAUGCUUUACACAUGCAAGUCGAACGGUAACAGGCCGCAAGGUGCUGACGAGUGGCGAACGGGUGAGUAAUGCAUCGGAACGUGCCCAGUCGUGGGGGAUAACGCAGCGAAAGCUGCGCUAAUACCGCAUACGAUCUAUGGCUGAAAGCGGGGGACCGAAAGGCCUCGCGCGAUUGGAGCGGCCGAUGUCAGAUUAGGUAGUUGGUGGGGUAAAGGCUCACCAAGCCAACGAUCUGUAGCUGGUCUGAGAGGACGACCAGCCACACUGGGACUGAGACACGGCCCAGACUCCUACGGGAGGCAGCAGUGGGGAAUUUUGGACAAUGGGCGCAAGCCUGAUCCAGCAAUGCCGCGUGCAGGAAGAAGGCCUUCGGGUUGUAAACUGCUUUUGUACGGAACGAAACGGUCCGGGUUAAUACCCUGGGCUAAUGACGGUACCGUAAGAAUAAGCACCGGCUAACUACGUGCCAGCCGCCGCCGUAAUAC